GACGAACGCUGGCGGCGUGCCUAAUACAUGCAAGUAGAACGCUGAAGGAGGAGCUUGCUUCUCUGGAUGAGUUGCGAACGGGUGAGUAACGCGUAGGUAACCUGCCUGGUAGCGGGGGAUACCUAUUGGAAACGAUAGCUAAUACCGCAUAAUAGUAGAUGUUGCAUGACAUUUGCUUAAAAGGUGCAAUUGCAUCACUACCAGAUGGACCUGCGUUGUAUUAGCUAGUUGGUGGGGUAACGGCUCACCAAGGCGACGAUACAUGGCCGACCUGAGAGGGUGAUCGGACACACUGGGACUGAGACACGGCCCAGACUCCUACGGGAGGCAGCAGUAGGGAAUCUUUGGCAAUGGACGGAAGUCUGACCGAGCAACGCCGCGUGAGUGAAGAAGGUUUUCGGAUCGUAAAGCUCUGUUGUAAGAGAAGAACGAGUGUGAGAGUGGAAAGUUCACACUGUGACGGUAUCUUACCAGAAAGGGACGGCUAACUACGU
rnacentral:rRNA from 1 species